GAAGAAGAAGACGACGACGACGACGAUGACAGAGGAGGAGGAGAAGAGGAAGGGGAAAAAGAAGAAGGGGGAAAAGGAAGAGGAAGAGAGGAAAAGGAAGAAGAAGGAAAAGAAGAGAGUGCUUGAAUGAUUGUAAAAGUGGCAGAAGGUUUUGAACUGCUGACUCAGCCAUAUGAGGAAAGAGCCAGGCCAUGUUAGCAGCAAACUAUAUCCUCUUGUAUCUUGCUGGGGUUGGUCUGUAAUAGCCAAAGUCCCCAGGGGGACGGAAUGACAGAAUGCAGCUGAGUGGCUUGGAAGAAAUAUGACCAGAGAAGAAUUUUCCCCAGACUACAAGAAGUUCCUAAAGCUGGCAGGCACAGAAGCUGCGGAAGUCUGUUGGAGAACCAUGCAGAAAUGAAGGGCACUUCUCAGCUGGAUUCCUGGGUGAGGCACUGACCCAUGUACAGCCCUGGACUGCAAGGGGGACCCCAGGAGUGACUAAGGUUUCCUCCAAGAAGAAAAUGUCAUCGAUUUGGAAGUCGUCCAUCAGAAUGCCCUUCCCCGUUCCUGAGGACCUAACAGAAAGAGCAGAGCUUCUCACAUGUGGUGAAGAGAUUGAGGCAGAAGGAGGUGAAGUGACUUGCUCAGGGUCAUAGCCUGGAAGUGGUCAAGUUGGAAUUCAGCUUACAAAGAAGAACUCUAUAGGAAAAAAGGGAAUUAUGUAGCUGCAGCAUAUCUCUUCUUCAUCCUGCUCUGUGUCUGAACGUCUGGUGGAGCACGUGGAGGCCUGUGGAGACCGAUGCUGUUGAUCCAUGUCAUCUCCUCCGAGCACCAGUUGGCCAGGCAUCCUGGGACACCAGGGACACACAGGUGGCCCCUGACAGUCCCCUGACGGGGUGGGUCUUCUGCUCUGCUUCCUAUAGUCCACAUGUGAGUGAAACCGUAUGAUAAUUGUCUUUCUCUGAUUGAGUUACUUCACUCACCAUAAUACCCUCCAGUUCCAUCCACGUCAAUGUAAAUGGUGCUGCUUCAGAGAUGGAUUGUUUCACAUUUUUUUAUACUGGCUUUGAGGCCUUUGACUCAUGUUAUUGAGAAUAGAAAGGCAAUUUAGAAGUUCUAGGAGGUAUCCGACAAAAUGCUUUAAAAAAAGUUUUUAUCAUCCUUUUCUUGAAGUGAUAUUUUAUGUCACCUCCAUACAGAGUCAUGGUUACAUCGACUUUUUAUGCUGGGAAAAGUAUCUAUCACCGUUUCUAUCAUCUUCCACUUAUUAUUAAUUCAUCCUGAAUAUCUAUAAAGAAAGUUAUCUGCUUUCAAAUUAUGCAGAAUCCUAAUGACUUUGGUAGCUAUCAU